AAUCUAUCAAUAACCACACCGUGCACUUGUCUGUCUGGCCCAUCAUUCUCUCUUGAGUUUGGUGCUUCCCGGGUAGCAUUAAGUUGCUGCUUGGGUUGGGUCCGGCUAUCCAUCAACUUGGGUAGUCGGGCUGGUCCUUACUAACCAACAACACCAAAUAAAACUCAAAGCCAAAGAUAUGUGUUCGGCCUAGCCGUCACAUCCUAACUGAGACAACUCUCAACAACGGAUAUCUUGGCUCUCGCAACGAUGAAGAACGCAGCGAAAUGCGAUACGUAGUGUGAAUUGCAGAAUUCCGUGAAUCAUCAAAUCUUUGAACGCAAAUUGCGCCCAAGGCUUCGGCUGAGGGCAUGUUUGCCUCAGCGUCGGGUUAAUCUCACUUUCCCCUUCCCAAAGCGGAGUGUUGGGCAAGUGGACCUGGCUGUUCCAAAGCUUGAGUGCUUCAUGGCGCUCGUGAAGGGCUUUGGAUCAGCUGAAGAGCAGAGGCUAGCUCAAGGACCCGUCAAGGGCCGCAACUGGGUAGGCAGCUUAUCGCUCGCUAUUUCUAGUUGUUGGCUUGGGACCAUGGGCUCGGCCCUCAAACAGGAACUCUCCUUUUUUUCUCGACCUGAGCUCAAGCAAGACCACCCGCUGAACUUAAGCAUAUCAAUAAGCGGAGGAAAAGAAACUAACAAGGAUUCCCUUAGUAAUGGCGAAUGAAA
rnacentral:rRNA from 1 species